AGGGGGAUUUGGGAACGGGGAGGGAGGCGGAUUUGGGAAUGCCGGACUGCACCUCCCGCCCUGCCCGCAGGUGACCACCAAAGGCGAGUCCCUGGGCACGCUGGGCACCAUCCUGCUGGGGUUUGAGUGGCCCUACGAGAUCCCCAACGGCAAAUGGCUCCUCUACCCCACCGAGAUCCUGGUGAACGGCAACGACACGUGUCACCCCCCCGGGGGGCUCAUCAACCCCCUCAACCUCACCCUGCUGCAGGACCAGGCUCCAGCGCGGCAGAGGCGGGAGCUGGAGCCCCCCGAGCCGGGCGAGCCCCCGGUCACCUUGGCCACCGGCCGGCGCCCGAGGUCCGAGGCGGUGCUGAGCUGCUCGGCGGGCACGGCGCGCUGCGUGUGGUUCGAGUGUCCCCUGCUGCACACGCAGCUGCCCUCCAGCUUCAGCCUCCGCGCCCGCGUCUGGAACAGCACCUUCAUCGAGGUGAGCCGGG